UACUGGAAUUCCUCACAAAGGGAAGUAGGUCGAAAAUGCGCUGAAUGUGCCACAAUGAUGACAUUUUAUUUGCUACUCUUGACUGUAAGAAUGACGAGAAUUAUUACCACCGUUAUCCUAACUGAGGCACACAGAAUGGUGAUUUGGAGAACAUCGAGAUUGCACGUGAGUUUACAUGAAGCUAUUUCUUCGCAGGUCCUAAAGGGCAAGCUUCACACACUAGCUGUGGGCAAACAGGUGGACUUGAGCUUUGACAUGUCUGGAUUGAGAGUUUGGUUUUUUUGCUACUGGGUACUACACAAGUUUUUAUUCGCGGAUGGCUUGCUUAGGGUGCAGAUGUUGGUCACCUUUUAUGUAAAGGUGUGAAGAGUUGGGUCGUCUGCAAGGCCUGGAACAGGAGUUUUAAGCACAGGCAGACCUUCUGUUACUCUGAAGAUUUCAAGGUAAAUCAGUCUUUGGUGUUGCAUAUGAUAUGUUAGAAUGUAACCAGUGAUGUGAUGAUUCUGCCAAAUGAAAUAGAAUGAUAUCACUUAUAAAACCGUUCCAUUUUGAUUCUGAGGUUACUAACAAGCAUCACUGAAGUUUUUUGUUUGUUUCUUUUUUACCAUGAUUAACAUGUCAUCUUUACUAAUUUUAGGGCAUUUAUGACAGCAGUUAUGCAGCUUACCAGUUGAAAGGUGAGACUUAAAAAUACAGUGCUGUUGUCUUAUUCCAGAAUACAUGAUGAUCUCACCCCAACUUGAACUCUCUCACUGAUUACUUGAUGAUGAGAUAAGAUCUGAUAUUCAUAUACUCCAAAUACCAUUAGAAUUGAAAUAUGGAAAUAUGAGUAAAAUGGCUUCUUUGUUUUUGCAGACAGCUGGAUGGAUGCUUGUGUGAUAGAAGAUUAAAAGCAACUUUCAGUUUUAAUAAAUUUUUAUACAAAAUA